rnacentral:rRNA from 1 species
UACGGAGGGUGCAAGCGUUAUCCGGAUUCACUGGGUUUAAAGGGUGCGUAGGUGGGGAUGUAAGUCAGUGGUGAAAUCUCCGUGCUUAACAUGGAAACUGCCAUUGAUACUAUGUUUCUUGAAUUUUCUGGAGGUAAGCGGAAUAUGUCAUGUAGCGGUGAAAUGCUUAGAUAUGACAUAGAACACCAAUUGCGAAGGCAGCUUACUACGGGAACAUUGACACUGAGGCACGAAAGCGUGGGGAUCAAACAGG